GCCACCCUUGAGGAACCUCAGUGAGGUAGUUCUGACACACCGAGGGCGGUUGUCCCUCGUUAGAGAGCCUGAUGUGAGCAUGAAAGUGAAGGUCAUAGCCAAAGUGACCUCACUUUGGAACCUCUGCCCCAGCUCCUUCAGAAAGAAAAGAUCACCCAUAGAGAAUAACAAUCCAUCCUAGGAGAUGAUGUAUCCACCUGCCCCCAAGACCUUUCUUUGGUUACUGAUACAAAGGAAGCAGUUAAUGGUAGGCCGGUGGCAAGAGGCCAGAAUUUGGAAUCACAGGAGGGUGCAGAGGAAACGAAAGGAAAAAGUACAAAAGAAUUGGAUGGAGAAGAAAUAUACAGCGAUCAGAACCAUUGAUCCAAAAUCACAAAGAAUAUCUACCCAAGUGUAGAGAGAUUGCAGUCUGCAGCAGGCGGAAAGAACCCACAAGGAUGAAAUCAUGAAUCCUUGAAACGUUGAAUUGUUUCCAGUUUACAAAAUGCUUUCUUCAU